GCCUGGCAAGCUCAGUUGGUAGAGCAUGAGAUUUUAAUCUCGAGGUCAGGGGUUUGAGCCCCAUGCUGGGUG
rnacentral:tRNA from 1 species